rnacentral:rRNA from 1 species
UACGGAGGGUGCAAGCGUUAAUCGGAAUUACUGGGCGUAAAGCGUGCGUAGGUGGUUCGUUAAGUCCGUUGUGAAAGCCCCGAGCUCAACUUGGGAAUUGCAGUGGAUACUGGCGAGCUAGAGUGCGGUAGAGGAAGGUGGAAUUCCCGGUGUAGCGGUGAAAUGCGUAGAGAUCGGGAGGAACACCAGUGGCGAAGGCGGCCUUCUGGACCAGCACUGACACUCAAGCACGAAAGCGUGGGGAGCGAACAGG